AAACAGAUCAGGGAGAGAGUUGGAACACCUGUAAAUAUGGCACCAGAGGUACUCCUAAACAAUGAAUAUGGCGUGUCUACAGAUUUCCCUUUGAAUGACAAGGUCAAGCUAUUAACAUAUGCAAAGCAGGUGUUAAUAGCACCACCACUACCCUGCCUGGCUGAACAGUGAAAUUAGAGACAUCCUGGAUAAGCUUCUAGAUACGGACCCAAGGGUACGCCACCCUUUCUAUAGAGACAUUAACUGGGGAGAUCUAGAGGAGUGUAAAGUGAGCCCUCCAUUCCUUAUAUUCGCAACAUCAGAUUAUGAUACAAGCACAAUGGAGUUAAAUCACUCUUUCAUGAAGGAUAACAUCUCCUCAUGUGAUGACCAUCAUAUCAGUGGCCUGUCUUAUGUGAACUCUGAAUGGCAGGAAUAGAAGCAGAGUGCUCCCUCUUGAAUACCACCAGACAACAGAACAUCUACCAACCAGCAGAUAGCCUCUUCCAACGUCCCUGCUGUGUACCAACAAACAGAGCAUCUUCUGCUGCAUAUUAUCAAACCGCGUGUUCUCUGUUUUCUCCUACAAG